AGAUUCGAAUUCCUACUUCCUAAUCUCCUAUUAAAAAAAAAAGAAUUAGAACUCUAAAAUGUACACAUUUAUGUUUAAAAGAUCCACAUGAUCUUAUCUUUGAGAUUUGACCAUAUUUGAAUGGUGAACACUUGAAAUAGGAUUUGCCAUUAAAAUAUUGGGAGCAGUACACUUCUUCUAGGAAUAUCAAGACCUGCCCAUCUUCCUUUCGGCUUUAGGAGGAAUUGAAAAUUGUCAUUUGUAUUUGGUAGGGCCAAGGAACUAAUACCUAAAAGGUUUAGUUUAAUCCUUUGGGCAUAUCCCAACCACUUGAUGUGAACUAAUUUGAUCAUAGAUGGGCAAGAAAUUUGGCUAAUGAUCUCAAAUUAAAUGAAAGGGAAAGGGCACAACUGCCCUUUCUUCCUCUUCGAAAACAAUGACUUUAGAGUUCUAGUAGUGUCUUUUCAAAAGGAAGGCAUUUCAAAAUCAAACCCAUCAAAAUGAAAGAGUGCCCUUUCUAUUUAAAAAAUAGUAAAAGAAGACCUCUAAAGAAAACCACUUUGCACAUGAUAUUGGGAUACACACCAUAUGAUAGAUCCACAUAGAUGUUAUUAAUUGAUUUUUUUUGCAAGCAACAAAUUGUGAUGUCCUUAUACAAUCUAUGCUUAGAUCUAAGCGAAGCCUAAUCACCAUGACUUGCCUUUAGAAUGCUUUGUCCACAUGAAAUAGUCUUCUAAUUCUCUGCUUUGGAGAGUAUGAGAGAUAAUGCAAAUCAUCAAAAGAACCAGGAAUAUAUGGGAAAAAAAGCUAUUAUUUUAUCUUUAUUAAGAUUUGCAAUCUUAUUUUACAAUAAAAGAAGGGUUUCCUUAUUUCCAUCAAAACUUAAUUCUUCUUGUUUAGCAAUUGGCUAAAUCUUAAAAGGUUAAGAUACCAUGAGAGAGCCUUUUGGUUAGAAUAAAACAUUCCUAAAAGAUCAACCCAAGUGCAAGCCAAAGCAAAUAAAGAGUAAGAGACUGAAUCUUACCAUAACGACAGAAACCAAUCAUGCAGCUGACCAAAUUUGCUCGGCCUCAACCUCACAUGUCCAAACGAAAAUGGCAGAAACUGACACAACAAUAACAUAGUGAGCACAUGGGAAGAAGCCACUGAAGCAGACAAGACGACGCAGUCUAGUCACCGAAAACGUGUUUCGCAAAAUGUUGAUAAUGCUUAUCUAUACCUUUUCCUAUCCUGUAUCAGAAAUUCAAUUUCUCAAUCAAGAGAUGAUCCCAGAAUUGGUAAGUAAAUUCAGAGUCACAUCUCACGAUCAGACAAAGGAAAUGAACAUCUAGUAAAAGAUAAGUACAAGUUGGAGGACACAAUAAUACAAUGUUGAAAGGUCAUAUCAAGCACUUACAAAUGAAUUGUUGCCUAGUAGAUGCUCGAAAAUGACUUAUAUGGCUGCUAGCAAGUAGCAAUUCCAGAGGUCUAUGUUAAAAGCCUAUAUUUCUAAUAGAAUUAGGAAAAUGAUGGCCAUGAUUGUGAAUAGAUAUGUGUGUGUGUGUUUUUUAAAGCUUUAUUCAAGUGUCUAAGGGUUGCUUUAGUAUAAUGGUAAAGUUAUUCCAUUUGUUACUUGGAGAUUAAGGGUUAAAUGGCAUUCAUUGCUAUCUUUUGUUUCCUGAAUUAUGAGUGACAGAGUCAAGCCAUUGAAACAACCUCUCUACAAAGCAGAUUUAAGGAUAUGUUUAUCAACCAUCCCCAGAAUCCCUAAGUGUAGGAUGAUUUAUGCACUGGGUCACCCUUUUUUUUUUCUAUUCACAUGUCAAGGAAACAUUUAGUGAGAUUUCACUGCCAAACAUAUGACAUGGUAAUUCAAUACAUGAAGUCACGGAAACAUAAAUUUUCUACAUGUUUUUCUUGGCCAUUUAAAAUUGUUGCUUCAUCAUUUGCGAGAGUGCAUCUGUCUACACUGUGCCGGUGUGUGCACAUGAUAGACGGAGUGAAGCCAUGAAAAAAAAUCCAAUAAUUCACAGAAAAUCAAUAUUGAGGCUGGGUAUAGCCUAUUCUAUUGCUUGGAAGUUUGUCCCAAAAGUCAGUAUACAGUCCCAAAUUCUCAUUGUGAACUAAUAUUUGAGCUUUAGUGAAGUUAAUGGGUAACAAAUCUUUGGCUUUAAAGUGAUUUAUGCUACAAAUUACAUGCCUAUGGCUAUGAAUCAAGUAACUGCUGCAAAUCAUAGCUGACCAAGAAUAUUGUUUAGAAAGAAAGAAAUUUAUAUGGAAUCCAUCAUGACAAAAGAAUUCAUUAACUGUUACAGCUUUUCUCCACCAAUUAAUUAAUAAUUACAACCAACCUCAUUAACUACUCCACUUUUCCAAUAACUCAAAUCCAAUUAAUAUUUGAUUUCAAGUCCAACUUUCUCAAAGAAAACAAUAUCCAAACCUUAAAGUGAAAGCUAUCAACAUCAUAGAAAUAAAAGCCAUUAAAAGCAGAAAAAUGAAAGGCAAAAAGUAGAAAAGAAUUUCUCUUCCAUCAGCAGUUAUCCAAUUAACAGAACAGACAAAAGCUUACAGAACAUACCAUGCCAAUGACAUAUUUACCACAACAUGGUCCCUAAAUGAGGAAAUGAAAUAAAAUUUCAAACUUGUUAAUUCUUGCCUUCUCUCAACCCUACGCAGUACGAGAUAAAGAUACACAUCCAACAGUUGUGAAGCAGAAAACUAUGAGGAGAGAAAACUACAAAGAACUAGCAAACCACAAAGUAAAUUUUGAAAGCAAUGAAACCUAAAUGAGAGCUCACAAUAAGUAUGUAAUAUCAGCAUUCCAAAAUGCCCAAAAACCUAGAUAGCAGUUAUGUUUAACCAAACACUAGAAUUUGGUGAAUGACCCAAAAAGAGUGAAGUCUGUCUGCUUUGGAAAAAGGGAACGCAAAAAUACAGUUUUAGCAUACCUAUUCCCACCGUAAAUUUAAAAUGAUCUACCAAGAUGGUUACUUGAAACAUGACUAUAUGAUUGUGGGGAAAUAAAAGAUGAUGCUUGCUUCUUGCAAGUUUCAUCAAGGCCCCACAUCCCCAGUUACAAUCUGAAUGUAUAAAUAUUCUGAAAUGAUCCAAAAUGAUUAUGUGUACCUAUUCUCAGGGUAAAACUAAAAUGAUCUACCAACUAUUAAGAUGGUUAUUUGAAACAUAGUCAUCUGAUAGUGAGGAAAUAAAGGAUGAUAUUUGCUUCUUGCAAGAGUCAUCAAGGCCCCACACACUCCCCAUUACAACUUUUUUGUCAUUAUUUAGUAUUUUCUGUAGGAUGCUACUCUAGUCUGAAAAAUGAGAAUAAGCCAAAAAUUUCAAAGUGGGGAAAAAGGCCGGGAGGGGGGGCUACUCAUGGAUGGAGAUUCUGCUUCCUUGGGCGGCAGCAACAUCAUAUGACAUCCAACUUUACAUGAUCUAUAUAAACAAAACGUUAUAAUCCAUAUAAUCAGAACCAUAAUGACAUUGGAAAUUUGAUUUUAUGAAUAUAUAAUGGCAAUAUUCAUAAUUAAGCUUGCACUAUUUAAGCAUCAACUAAAGCAACAAUGGGCCAAUGAGGUUAAUAAUAAUGGCUUGCAAUGUCUACAGGGCAUAACACUACUAGUAAUGACUUGCAAAAGUCUACAGGUCAUAUCACAGGGAUAAUAGUAUUGCGAAUGAAAGAGGUUAAUUGUGUGUUAAAAGUCAAAAGGCACUAUAAUCAAAUUCAGAUAAUUGUCACAUCAAGCAUAAUAAUUUGAUGAAUUGCAGAGAGAAUUCUUGAGAUAGAGUAGUAAUGUGCAAGUAUAACAAAUAAUGGUUUGACAGGCAACAUAAAGGAAAGCUGCAAUGUUGACAUACUGCAAGGGUACUGACAAAUCUGAGAUUAUGACUUGCACUUUCUAAAUUCAACAUUAAAAAUGAAAUUUCGACCGAAGUAUUCAGCACAAGAGAGUGCACUAUCCACUGCAUCUUUAUUCUUAAAGUCAGUUAGUGUACAGAAUGAGAAUAGGAUAUCCUGUUAACUGGAUAACUCUUAGCAUAAACUGGAAAAUAUAUGGGUUUUGGAACAAGGAAAUAAUCAUGCCACUUGAUUGUACUGAAAACAGUAAUUUCUACAGGAAAUAUCAACUCACUUUAAUUCCACUGAUCAAAAGAAUGACAUGAAUCUAUUAUCUGCUUCACCUUUCCCAGAUUGAAUUUAGUCAUGAUCAAAGGCUUGAAGUGUCAAGCUACUGCUUCGGAAGACAUAGAUGAAGAACAAAACAUAAUAUAAAAAUAAAGCAAGAACUUCCCAGAUUUGUUUGUGCUUGGGGUAGACUGUGGAGGGUCUGAAAAUCAGAAAAGAAAAUUUCAGUUAAUGAACAAGAUCAUACAACCUCAGUAUCAAAGAGAUCACUGUGAGGUGUAAUAACAAUAAACAUACUUCCCAGAUUCUCUGGACACUUUACCAAUAAAAUUAACAAUCAUAAUAUAUAUGCCUGAAUAUGUCAAAGUUUUUAAUGAGCCAAACAGAUUGUUUUCCCAUAAAAAGCGGCUACCACUUGGUUUCUUUCAAACUGCUUCGCUUUCCUAUCUGAUAUCUUCUUUCUAAUUACUUGCUUUUAUACGGCCUUGCCCAUGCUUUACAUAACAACAGGAGCAUCAAUCUAAAUAUAAACCCAAAUAAUCUUCAACUAUCUCUCUUUAACUCAACUCUACUAUUUUGACUGGUAUUUUAGAAAAGCACUAGCUCCCAAAUCAUACUUAAGUCUUCAAAGCGAGCUUGAAAUAGUAAGUCUUACCCAGUACUAGUGACACCAUGUUAUUGCCUUCUACUAAAUUGUCUACCCUUCUGUACAUUCUCUGUUCCUUCGUCUUGAUCUUCACUAUUCAUUAUAGUCAUUGUACUUGACCUAUAUCUGUCUAACUACUCAUCUAGGUAUAUGGAUUUAUAUAUGGACUAUAUGCUAUAUCUUAUCAUACUAACAAGCAGAAAUCAUUACAGGUUUUUUACUAUACAAUGGCCCCAAAAGACUAGAGUGCUAAAAGCUAACUGGCAAUAAUUUAUAGUCGUGGUUAUUGUGAGUCUAUGGCUUUUUUUUUUUUUCAGGUACAAACAAUCACACCCACCAUAAAAUAGUGAAUGGCGUCCUAUCAAUGACACCAAGAAUCAAUGCUUCAUCCCAAAUAAACGUUUUCCCCUCAUUCUUCUGGAACCUUAAAUCACAUAGGCCACCCAAUUGCCUAUGCUUUAUCAUGCAAUUGGUGUUAACUUUAAAACAUACUGAUUGCUUCCAAAUCCAAUCUACUUUGCCUUGCAACUCAUCCAUCUCAUCAGGUUAAAGGCAUAAAACCUCAUUGAUUAGGCCUGAAGGUUCAUCCUCUUUUCAAGCAAUGGAUUAACAAGAAUGUGUCCAAAGAAAUGACUAAUUUUGCUUAAAAAAUGAAUAAUUUAUUUGCACAUGGAUAAUAUAAAUUACCAUCAAUUCAGCUUCAAAAUCAUAAUUAGAAGACCUAAAAUUCAGUUGCCAUUUAGUCACUGUUUGCGAAGACCGCAAUCCAAUCAUCUACAAUGAGGAUCAAACUGUAAUAAAAGACAGAUUGAUUGAGCAAACAGAAGCGAAUAAGGCAUAUCAGUUGCGUGUAUGGAAGAGGAAAUUGUGUGAACUGAGCUAUACAAGUAACUGGAUAGCGAUACAGUGGACCUGUGAGACUAAGUUCUCCUGCAUUGGCUUACCUGCUAGAUUGAGUGACGACUGAACACGAAGCGAAGGGAAGAAGUCUGUAGCUCGCUGUUUUCACGUUGUCUACCUCUUUGCCU
rnacentral:misc_RNA from 1 species